rnacentral:rRNA from 1 species
AAUGAACGCUGGCGGCGUGCUUAACACAUGCAAGUCGAACGAGAAAGUCUCUCGCUUGCAGAGACGAGUAGAGUGGCGCACGGGUGAGUAACACGUGGAUAAUCUACCUUUGAACCUGGGAUAACUAUUCGAAAGGGUAGCUAAUACCGGAUGAGGUUAUAGUUUCUUUGGAGACUAUGAUGAAAGACGGCCUCUGAUAUAAGCUGUUGUUUGAAGAUGAGUCCGCGUACCAUUAGCUUGCUGGUGGGGUAAUAGCCUACCAAGCCAAUGACGGGUAGCCGAUGUGAGAGCAUGAUCGGCCACAAGGUUACUGAGACACGGAACCUACACCUACGGGUGGCAGCAACCGGGAAUAUUGCGCAAUGGACGAAAGUCUGACGCAGCGACACCGCGUGCGGGAUGAAGCUUUUCGGAGUGUAAACCGCUGUGGCGGGGGAUGAAUUUUGACAGUACCCCGCUAGAAAGCACCUGCUAACUACGUGCCAGAAGCCUCGGUAAUACGUAGGGUGCAAGCGUUAUCCGGAUUUACUGGGCGUAAAGCGUCCGUCGGCGGUUUUUCAAGUCUGUUGUUUAAUACCAUGGCUCAACUGUGGAAAAGCAAGGGAAACUGGAUUACUUGAGUAUGUUAGAGGAAGUUGGAAUUCUCGGUGGAGGGGUGAAAUCCGUAGAUAUCGAGAGGAACGCCAAUUGCGAAGGCAGGCUUCUAUGACAUUACUGACGCUCAGGGACGAAAGCUAGGGUAGCAAAAGGGAUUAGAGACCCCUGUAGUCCUAGCCGUAAACGAUCCUUGCUAGCUGUUCUGAACGUUUAAGUUUGGAGUGGCGUAAGCUAACGCGUUAAGCAAGGCGCCUGGGGAGUACGACCGCAAGGUUA